UAGAGUUUGAUCAUGGCUCAGAACGAACGCUGGCGGCGUGUUUAAGACAUGCUAGUCGAACGGACCGGGGUUGUAGCAAUACCGCUUCGGUCAGUGGCGCACGGGUGCGUAACACGUGAGUGACAUGCCCUGCAGUGGGGAAUAGCCCGCCGAAAGGCGGAUUAAUACCCCAUGGACCCGCGAGGGUAAAGGUGGCGCAAGCUGCCGCUGCAGGAUUGGCUCGCGGCCUAUCAGCUUGUUGGCGAGGUAAUGGCUCACCAAGGCAUCGACGGGUAGCUGGUCUGAGAGGAUGAUCAGGCACACUGGAACUGAGACACGGUCCAGACACCUACGGGUGGCAGCAGUCGAGAAUAAUUCACAAUGGGGGAAACCCUGAUGGUGCAACGCCGCGUGGAGGAUGAAGGUCUUCGGAUUGUAAACUCCUGUCAUCCGGGAGUAAGACCUGGCGGUGAAGAGCCGACAGGGUUGAUAGUACCGGAAGAGGAAGGGACGGCUAACUUCGUGCCAGCAGCCGCGGUAAU
rnacentral:rRNA from 1 species